ACCAUCUGUCCCCCCACCCCCUCUCGCCAUACUGAUGAGCUUUUGUCAAAAUUUUACCUGUUCUGUAGGAAUUGGAUAAUCUAUACUUGGUAAUUCAUGGCAGGUUACUAAAAAAGUGAUGUUGAACUAUCUGUGCCAGCAGCUAGUACGUGUGGGUAGUGCCACAAGUAUUAACAAACUUUUGUUGGUAAGGAUGCAAGUACUGGGAUAUUCCUGAAUACCGGCUGGUAAUCGAGCCCAUGCAAGUACAUGAAAAAUAUAUGAAAAUGGAAUAAG
rnacentral:lncRNA from 1 species